AGAUAAAAGACAUACAACCGCUCAUUUGACGAGGCGAUUUUAAGAAAACAUACAUAAAUGCAUUCGUUAGCAAGAGCUUCUAUUACUCUUGCGUCACCAGAGCUAGACAGUUAAACACACAGUAAGAAUACUGAGUUCGUAGUUGCGCAAGAAUGGAUUUCAGAAGUUUUGCGUUGUUUUUCUUUAUCAUUCUCCUUAUUUUUCUAACUGUGAUUUCAGGAUCGGAUUGCGCAUGCGUGCAAACAACACAGGCUCCGACGACGACAACAACAGUGUUUGUCCCCCACCCUUGACACGUGACAAGAUGUCACUGAAGAUAAAUUUUUUAGACAUGUUUGGCUUGAACUUUUGAAAAAGUUUGCUGAUUUUCAGUGUAAUUCUUGUUAUAGAAAUAAACCAAAGUUAAAUCACGGG